CUGCAUUCUUAAACCCUCCUGGCAGCUCUGUUGUUGGCUUCCAGGAUAAGAAUGAAUGCCAGAUAAAACUGUUGAUUAAUCCAAAAUGUAGAGCUCUUCUCCCAUGGCUCUUCAUUAUUUCACAUCUUCAACAUUU
rfam:Chlamydotis undulata macqueenii contig44793, whole genome shotgun sequence.